ACGGGCAUUGGCGGGGGCGCUUCUCUUGGUCGUGGUACGUCCUGUGCUGCUGGAGAGGGGUUUUGUACUGGAAAAGCUCAUUUCAUUUGUCCGAAUGAAAAUAAGCUGCCCAGUAUGGCCAAGCAGACAGCAGUAAGACACUUGCUUUGGUAGAGAAUUCAGUGCUUCAAAGUGGGGGGUUUAUUUCAUUUUAGCAUGGAUGACUUAAUAGUCGUGACAAUGCCAGCGUUACAGCCAACGUUAUCAGACAGAUGUGGAGGAAAAAAAUACACUGAUAUUCCUGUGCUGGCACGCAUCUGUAGCUGGGAAACAGCAGAGGAGCUGCAGUGUACAGCUGUUAGCAGCAAAUUGGGGAAGAACUGCUCUGGUGAAAUUUGGGGUUCAGGUUGAGGAUUCAUCAGUGGCUGUCAUAAUGGCUCAGUGACUCUCCGCCAGGCUGGUGUGGCCUCAAAGGCUGCCCCUGCUGCUGGCAGAGUGUGUGGAGCCUCUGCUGAGCAGGCAGUGGCAUCCCCCCGAACACCUUCUCACAGCAGGGACGGAGAUGGGCCCAGCCCAGCGCGUGGAAAUGGAUCUCUCCAGCUGAACGCUCAGGCAGAGCAACACGGGAGCAGCAGGGAGAGGUGGCUUUGUCCUGGAGGUUCCAGGAGCUCGGGGUGGAUAUGCGAGCCUGCAGCUCCAGGCUGCCGCAGGACCCAAGGGCUGCACACACCCAGAGCGUACAGGUUCGCUCGUAUUGUAAUUUGCAAACGGCACGGCAAAUGCCACGAGAGCAGCUGCGGAAGGUGGCUCAGAAGCAAUGACAAGAAUGUGCUGCAAAGUUGGGUCCAGCAGUCCAGCUUCCCGACACGCCAAUUCUGAAGCACUGAGCAGAGCCGAUCUCUGAGAGCUGACACGGGAGCUCUGGUGAGGACAGCUGCUCCCCUGCCUCGGUGUGGGACCUGCUGAGCUGCCGUUCCUGUGGUGGGAGUGUUUCUCCUCUCAUCCAGGCAAGCCAGAGACCUCCUAGGGAAGGGGCAGCAGAGUGCAGCCGCCCAAGAAAGGAUUUUUUGUGGCUCAGCCAGAUGUUCUCCUGCCUCCCGCCAAGACCCUGAGAUGGAGCUGAGUUUGCAUUCCAAUUUAUUGGAACAGAGGCUCAUCAGAAGUUUCCUCAGCUAUCUGAGGCACAGAGCCCUGGAGCCAAGUAAGCCUGAGCUGCUGCAUGCUUGCUGUGAGCCUUGGGGACAGCGUGAAGACUGAAAUUGUAAGAAGAUGUGGAGGGAAACAGAGAAUCUGACGGGCGCAUCGAACGCACAAGUGCACAAAUUUUGCUUGGAUUUAAACUCAGAAGUUGUAAGGAAUUUGGGAAUGAGAAGGGACAUUUCAGAAGGAGAAGAAGUUGUUGUUACAGUCCUGGCAUAAUCUUUUGUUCUAGCUAAUAAAGGAAGUUAGUUUAAAUUAAAACAAAGAAAAAAAUGUGGGGUUUUUUUUCUUCACUAUUAUAUUCAUUGGUGGUAUAUGGUGUGUUGUUUUAUUUCUUGGUAUUAUUAACUCUGUGUAAAUUGUUUUUGGAGUGAAGCUAACUUUCUGGAUGGGUUGGUUUGUAUUUGAGGUAGGAUUAAUUACAAUAGGUUUCUUUAAUAGAGUUCUGAUAGGUAUUACUUGGGUUUUGGUUUUGUUUGCUGUAUAUAUAAACAUACACAUUUGGUAGGGCCAGCUUGGCUGCUGGAGUUUAGCAAAUGACCUAAAUUGUUUUUUUGUUACAUCCUAUGAUCAGUUUUAGGCAGUGACUUUAUACUGCUUUUAGGAUUUUCUUAUGCAAUGGUGAGAAAAUAGGCAGGUCUGAUACUUGUUUGACUUUUUUUGUACUUAAUGUUUCAUGAAAUUCUGUAAGCCAAGCGAUCUACUGGUUAAACUAUACCAUCAACUCUUCCUCAUUCCUUUGGGCCUAGAUUCCCCAUUUCCCAUGUCUCUCUGUCUACUUGUUAUCAUACCCAGCUAGGCCUCCUGUGAACUGGUCUUGCCAGAAGGGCUUGCUGAGUUUUCCACUGUGUGGAAAAGAGAUCCCAUUUGGAGCCUGAAGCCUCGUGUUUCCUGUAGGAUUUCCACUCCUAGAAUUGCACACUUUGAAGGAUUUCUUAUAGCAGAAGUUUUCUGGGAGCUAGGACUCUGGCUGGAUUAGGGUCUCUGGACUCUCAGGUGAAGUGACCUUGAGACACUAGGGCAUGCAGAUUUCCUUGCUGUUGAAAAGAGCUAUUGUUGGCACCCAGGAGCCAUGGUCUGAAUGGGGGUGUCACCUCUUAAAUUUGCAAAUGUAACAGGAUUUCUUCUAAAUGAAUGGUGCUAAGAACAUAAGGUCUGGCUGGCUUUCGACUUAGAGGCGCCUCCUCUAAAUUGGUCUUCAGAUGCUAGGUUGGAAAGUGUUCCUACAUAUGCCAAAUAGCCCUUGUUAUGCAGUUAAUAAGCUUCAAAGUACACAUGGAGUUGCUGCCCCUGCAAAGAUUUUGGCAGAGCCUGGUUGUGGUGCCCCAUUCCACUCCACCCCCCUUAGCAGGUCCUUAUGGUUGUAUGGGGAAUCGUUGUGGAGCAUGCCAACCCAGCUCCAUCCUGGGAACAGCACCUGUAUUUUACCCUAAAAUUUCUGUCCCAUUAUAGCUCCUGUUAGGAUACAAAUGUAACUCGGUUUCCACUGAAACAGCACAGCUGGCUGGCAUGCUUUGCUUAUGAGGGGAGACAAGAGAAGAAUCCCUCUGCUCACACCAGACCUGCAGCUGCCAAACCUCACCAAAGCACCUGAGGAGCCCCCAGGGACUGAUGGUACAGAAGGGAGGUGAUGGAGGACAGCACAGCAGGCAGCCUGCCCUCCAUCUGGGUGUGAAGAAGGCAGGGCUGGGAACUAAGCAACAUCCCAGCAGGUCUGGCUGAUGGUGCCACCCUGAGGGCUUCCCCUGCCUUUGGGCAGUCCCAGCUGCUGCAGCUCACUUGACAGAGACUCAUUGUCUAUACUGUGCUUGGCUGCACUGGAGAUGAUGAAGCCGAGGACAGCAAUGGUUGCCUUCGCAUCCCCUGACUGCAGAUGGGAAGGAGGGCAAGCUCUGUCACCUUGGGAAGGCAUCUGCAGAUUCAUUGCUGCCCGUCUCUGGAGCAUGGCUCCAUCGGGGGAUCGUGGUAAGGACAGCAGUGCUCACCUAACUCUGCACCUGAGGACAGCUUCAGGACCUUGUCAUACUGUGGGAGAGCAGAGCUUCACAGUAAAUACCAGCUAACAUACUUAGUACCAGUGUUAACACUAACAAUCCUUACCUAAAUAUUAAUACUAGUAACACUAUGCGUAUUAUUAGAGGCUGGUAGAGUUCUUAAGGCUGAGGCUUGCAUGAAGAACACAAAAUUAAUUAACGUUGCUGAUUAUGCUAUUGUGUUGAAAUACUUGGCCUCCACUGCAGUAGCCCCACACUAACCUCGAUGGCCUGCCCCAGCAGGUCCCAAAACACCUGGAUGCAGAUCAGCUUAAGCUUCACUGAUGUGAUAAACAGAGUUCAUUCUUUAAAAUUUUUAAAAGUUUAUUAAAGGAUAAAAGGACAAAAUAA